CCUACGGGUGGCAGCAGUGGGGAAUAUUGCACAAUGGGCGCAAGCCUGAUGCAGCAACGCCGCGUGAGUGAUGAAGGCCUUCGGGUCGUAAAACUCUGUCCUAAGGGAAGAAUAAUGACGGUACCUUAGGAGGAAGCCCCGGCAAACUACGUGCCAGCAGCCGCGGUAAUACGUAGGGGGCAAGCAUUAUCCGGAAUCACUGGGCGUAAAGGGUGCGUAGGCGGCUUGACAAGCCAGGGGUGAAAGGCAUUGGCUCAACCAAUGUAAGCCUUUGG
rnacentral:rRNA from 1 species